rnacentral:sRNA from 12 species
UGGUCUGGGUGAAAGCUCUUGGGACCACCAAAGGCGGGAACAGUUCCC